AAUGAAAGAAACUGAGAGUUAUAGGCGUUGCUCAUAAAUGUCAAGAAGUUCUGGCUGAUUGCCACAUCAAACAUUCCAUAUCUGCUGAACUAAUACAUGUUCCGAGAAAACAAAUAAGUUGCUAUGUCAUCGAAAUUCAUCCAUAUAUAAUACUUGCAUGUUUGUUGUUAGACAAACAAAAAUCAAAUUUAGAUGUAUUGGGUAUGGAGUUACACCUAAUAUAUUUUUCUUGGCAGACUAAUCACAGCAGAAGAAGCUUAUCCAACUUUAGAAUAGACUAAAUAAAACUUAAGAUGAG
rnacentral:misc_RNA from 1 species